AGGAUCGAGGAAAUACUCACCUUCUUCUGCUCUCCACUGUCAUCUGUUCCCGACUGUUGCAUCCUCCAACCACUGGACCAGCUCCUGCAUGAAGAAUGAAGCCAAAAAUACAAAAAGCUAAAAAUUGAUUACCUGUGGUCCUGGUUCUAGAUUAUGGCUGUUCCUGCUAGACUCGCCUCUUCAAAUCACAAAGCAUGUGAACAGAUUUACUUCAGAAAAAUGGACCUGACUGUCCAUUUGAUUUCUUAUACAUUGUGACUAAUGGCUGCUGUGGUGCAAUUUCAGCGUUCUGUCACCAUGGUGAAAGGGGCCUGAGGCGUGUGUCUGGAUGACGCUAGCUGUGACGUAUUGCCGGGCGGGUGGGAGGUCCCGUUCCUGGCAUUCGGCGUCGGCGUGGGGAUGCACACAUACAAGACAGAAAUCCUGAAAACGAGACCUGUUAAAGCAACUACAAAGUCUAACACAAGUCAAUACAAAGGCAUUGCUUCACUAAUUGAUUUCCCGGUAGAUAAAUUACUGCAUGAAAUACAGAGAAACUUGAACUUUGCUGCAAUGCUUCAUUCAUCUUCUAAAUUUCAAUUGCUGUUACCAGGAGAAAACAGGUAGCUGCUAUGAGAAAAUGACGUCUUCUUUGUCCACAUAAAUGAUUUGGUAGAACGGCAAGGUAAAGCUGCAUGAGACGAUACUGUAAAUAAGAUUCUUCGAAAGCUCUAUUGCCACAGACCAACUGCAAGCAAAUACUGUGAAGACAUUGUAGCAACCACACUAAUAAUAGUAAUUGCAUCAAUGAGCGGUAUUAAGAUCCAGCCAGUCAGAAGCAGUCAUUGUAAUUGCCGGUAUGUAUUUUGCAUCGGGGUCAUGCGCCUACAAAUGCUAUAUCUCCAGUUAUUUUUUGUUGUGGUCUGCAUGGGAACCCACCCUUUCAGUUUGUACCCAAAAAAAUGCAAUUAUACUCCACUCUGUGUUAAGUUGUCGGACUCAUUAAUUUUUGUUUGUGGCCCCAUAGAGCUAGGCACAAAAAUCAGCAAGUCCAGUGCUAGAUUGGGACAAGUGGGGGGCAAUUUCAGGUGUCAUUGCCAACAUUUAUACAGCGUUGCAGCGCAACUCACCCCUUUCGCUAGUGGUGAAUUUCCCAUGAGGAACGUGCCUAGGGGCGGCACUUGUUUGGGUGGCAGCAUUUGGAUGCUUGUUUUGGUACUGUCAGUCAGAAAUGUACCAGUAACUGCUAAAUAGUUCAACUGUAUUGUAGCAUAUACCAUCUUGAAUGGAGUGCCUCUGUAAGCUGUCCUGCUUAG